CGGUCCUAAGGUAGCGAAAUUCCUUGUCGGGUAAGUUCCGACCUGCACGAAUGGCGUAACGACUUCCCCGCUGUCUCCAACGUAGACUCAGCGAAAUUGAAUUCCCCGUGAAGAUGCGGGGUUCCCGCGGUUAGACGGAAAGACCCCGUGCACCUUUACUACAACUUCGCAUUGGCAUCAGGUACAGCAUGUGCAGGAUAGGUGGUGGGCUUUGAAGCAGGAACGCCAGUUUCUGUGGAGCCUCCCUUGAGAUACCACCCUUGCUCUGCUUGAUGUCUAACCGCGGUCCAUUAUCUGGAUCCGGGACCCUGCGUGGUGGGUAGUUUGACUGGGGCGGUCUCCUCCCAAAGAGUAACGGAGGAGCGCGAAGGUACCCUCAGCAUGGUCGGAAAUCAUGCGUAGAGCGUAAGAGUAUAUGGGAGCUUGACUGCGAGACGUACAUGUCGAGCAGGGACGAAAGUCGGGACUAGUGAUCCGG
rnacentral:rRNA from 1 species